UACGUAGGGGGCAAGCGUUGUCCGGAAUCAUUGGGCGUAAAGAGCGCGUAGGCGGUCCGGUAAGUCCGCCGUGAAAGUCAAGGGCUCAACCCUUGAAUGCCGGUGGAUACUGUCGGGCUAGAGUCCGGAAGAGGCGAGUGGAAUUCCUGGUGUAGCGGUGAAAUGCGCAGAUAUCAGGAGGAACACCAAUGGCGAAGGCAGCUCGCUGGGACGUGACUGACGCUGAGUGAGCGAAAGCCAGGGGAGCAAACGGG
rnacentral:rRNA from 1 species